rnacentral:rRNA from 1 species
GAUGAACGCUGGCGGCGUGCCUAAUACAUGCAAGUCGAGCGAACGGACGAGAAGCUUGCUUCUCUGAUGUUAGCGGCGGACGGGUGAGUAACACGUGGAUAACCUACCUAUAAGACUGGGAUAACUUCGGGAAACCGGAGCUAAUACCGGAUAAUAUUUUGAACCGCAUGGUUCAAAAGUGAAAGACGGUCUUGCUGUCACUUAUAGAUGGAUCCGCGCUGCAUUAGCUAGUUGGUAAGGUAACGGCUUACCAAGGCAACGAUGCAUAGCCGACCUGAGAGGGUGAUCGGCCACACUGGAACUGAGACACGGUCCAGACUCCUACGGGAGGCAGCAGUAGGGAAUCUUCCGCAAUGGGCGAAAGCCUGACGGAGCAACGCCGCGUGAGUGAUGAAGGUCUUCGGAUCGUAAAACUCUGUUAUUAGGGAAGAACAUAUGUGUAAGUAACUGUGCACAUCUUGACGGUACCUAAUCAGAAAGCCACGGCUAACUACGUGCCAGCAGCCGCGGUAAUACGUAGGUGGCAAGCGUUAUCCGGAAUUAUUGGGCGUAAAGCGCGCGUAGGCGGUUUUUUAAGUCUGAUGUGAAAGCCCACGGCUCAACCGUGGAGGGUCAUUGGAAACUGGAAAACUUGAGUGCAGAAGAGGAAAGUGGAAUUCCAUGUGUAGCGGUGAAAUGCGCAGAGAUAUGGAGGAACACCAGUGGCGAGGGCGACUUUCUGGUCUGUAACUGACGCUGAUGUGCGAAAGCGUGGGGAUCAAACAGGAUUAGAUACCCUGGUAGUCCACGCCGUAAACGAUGAGUGCUAAGUGUUAGGGGGUUUCCGCCCCUUAGUGCUGCAGCUAACGCAUUAAGCACUCCGCCUGGGGAGUACGACCGCAAGGUUGAAACUCAAAGGAAUUGACGGGGACCCGCACAAGCGGUGGAGCAUGUGGUUUAAUUCGAAGCAACGCGAAGAACCUUACCAAAUCUUGACAUCCUUUGACAACUCUAGAGAUAGAGCCUUCCCCUUCGGGGGACAAAGUGACAGGUGGUGCAUGGUUGUCGUCAGCUCGUGUCGUGAGAUGUUGGGUUAAGUCCCGCAACGAGCGCAACCCUUAAGCUUAGUUGCCAUCAUUAAGUUGGGCACUCUAAGUUGACUGCCGGUGACAAACCGGAGGAAGGUGGGGAUGACGUCAAAUCAUCAUGCCCCUUACGAUUUGGGCUACACACGUGCUACAAUGGACAAUACAAAGGGCAGCGAAACCGCGAGGUCAAGCAAAUCCCAUAAAGUUGUUCUCAGUUCGGAUUGUAGUCUGCAACUCGACUACAUGAAGCUGGAAUCGCUAGUAAUCGUAGAUCAGCAUGCUACGGUGAAUACGUUCCCGGGUCU